AGCUACGUGGUGAGCACAAAGCGAACUGUUCUUUCGUCUUUUACUAAAAAUACCGUGUGCACGCCACAAUAAGCAGCAUACGCUUAUUUUCGGAGGAUGCCUUCUCUUUGGGAGGCG